UGGGGAAUAUUGCACAAUGGGCGCAAGCCUGAUGCAGCCAUGCCGCGUGUGUGAAGAAGGCCUUCGGGUUGUAAAGCACUUUCAGCGGGGAGGAAGGCGAUAAGGUUAAUAACCUUGCCGAUUGACGUUACCCGCAGAAGAAGCACCGGCUAACUCCGUGCCAGCAGCCGCGGUAAUACGGAGGGUGCAAGCGUUAAUCGGAAUUACUGGGCGUAAAGCGCACGCAGGCGGUUGAUUGAGUCAGAUGUGAAAUCCCCGGGCUUAACCCGGGAAUUGCAUCUGAUACUGGUCAGCUAGAGUCUUGUAGAAGAGGGUAGAAUUCCAUGUGUAGCGGUGAAAUGCGUAGAGAUGUGGAGGAAUACCGGUGGCGAAGGCGGCCCCCUGGACAAAGAAUGACGAUCAGGUGCGAAAGCGUGGGGAGCAAACAGG
rnacentral:rRNA from 1 species